CCUACUGGUGUCAGCAGUGAGGAAUAUUGGUCAAUGUGCGCGAGCCUGAACCAGCCAAGUAGCGUGAAGGAUGACUGCCCUACGGGUUGUAAACUUCUUUUAUAAAGGAAUAAAGUGAGGCACGUGUGCCUUUUUGUAUGUACUUUAUGAAUAAGGAUCUGCUAACUCCGUGCCAGCAGCCGCGGUAAUACGGAUGAUCCGAGCGUUAUCCGGAUUUAUUGGGUUGAAAGGGAGCUGAGAUGGGUUGUUAAGUCAGUUGUGAAAGUUUGCGGCGCAACCGUAAAAUUGCAAUUGAUACUGGCAGCCUUGAGUACAGUUGAGGUAGGCGGAAUUCGUGGUGUAGCGGUGAAAUGCUUAGAUAUCACGAAGAACUCCGAUUGCGAAGGCAGCUUACUAAGCUGCCACUGACAUUGAUGCUCGAAAGUGUGGGUAUCAAACAGGAUUAGAUACCCGGGUAGUC
rnacentral:rRNA from 1 species